AGGACGAACGCUGGCGGCGUGCUUAACACAUGCAAGUCGAGCGGAAAGGCCCUUCGGGGUACUCGAGCGGCGAACGGGUGAGUAACACGUGAGUAACCUGCCUCUAGCUUCGGGAUAGCUCCGGGAAACCGGAAUUAAUACCGGAUAUGACCACGGCCGACAUCGGCCACGGUGGAAAGAUUUAUCGGCUAGAGAUGGGCUCGCGGCCUAUCAGCUUGUUGGUGGGGUAACAGCCUACCAAGGCGACGACGGGUA
rnacentral:rRNA from 1 species